CCACCCGUUUUUUUCUUUAUUUUUCCAGAAAUAAUUAAAAGUAAUUGGAGUCUAAACAUUUAUGGAAGUGGCAUACCCGGCCGGUUGGUAAGACCAUUGGUUUGAGACUUGUGAGACUGGAGUUCGAUUCCUGCUGCAACAUAAUUUUUUUUUUUUUUUUUUUUUUGCUGCUGCCGUCUAUAACUUUUCUCCCAUUUUUCUCCCCUUUUCCUGUCUUCCUUUUCCCCCCUUUUCUGUUUCUUCCCCAUUCUCGCAUCUCCUUACAAAUCUCCUUACAAGAACCAAAAAAAAAAAACCAUUUUUUUUUUCUGCUGGCUGACGUCUAUAAUUGAUAUUCCCCUUUUCUCCCCCUUUUUCUAGUCUUCCUUUUCCCCCCUUUUCUGUCUAUCUUCCCCAUUCUCGCAUCUCCUUACAAGAACAAAAAAAAAAAAAACCACGCUACAACAUCGCAACUCCCUCUCUCUCUCUCUCUGGUGGUCGACGCCCCUUCCUCCUGCACUUUUCCCGUCACCGCCGGUGCUUCUUCCUGCUGCGUUUUCCCGUCACCGAGCCAAAGUUUUAGAUCAAAAUGUUGUCUAAUAGAGAAUGGAUGUACACGAAGAGACUUGAUAGUCGUCGUUUGUUUAAUCCGCAAUGGCCACAUUAUGUCAAUUUGUUUUUGGAUUUUGCUUACACGAACGCAACAAACAUCCAACGUAUUAUUAGGGAAGGGGUGGAAGUUUUUGAAAUUAGAUGUCCGUGUGUGAAAUGCAAAAAUAUUUAUUACCACCCGAGAGAAUCAGUUUUUAACCAUCUUAUUGCCCGAGGAUUCAUGAAUGGUUAUUCACUAUGGUAUUUACAUGGCGAAAAAUAUCCAACACUAGAGAUUGGUCAAUGUUCAAACCCUGAAACGGGUCAACACAUUGAUAACGAUUUUGGUGAUUAUCGUAGAUACGAGGAGAUGGUCAUCGAAAGCAUGCAUCAACCCGAGGCUUCUUAUUAUCAACAAACACCACACAACCCAAAUCUUGAUGCCCAAAAUUUUUAUAAAAUUUUGAAACAAGCGAGUGAACCUUUAUGGGAUGGGUGUACAAAAACUUCCACACUCGUCGCGACCACUAGAUUAUUGGACUGGAAAUCACAAUCUAAUGUUUCAGACACGUCAUUUGAUAAACUACUUUCGAUUGUUAAAGACAUUCUACCAUCUGGCGAGAAGCUUCCUAACAGCUUCUACGAGACCAAGAAAAUGUUGAAGCCACUAAAAUUGCCUUCAGAACGGAUUCAUGUGUGUAUAAACCAUUGCAUGCUAUUUAGGGGCCAAUUUGCUGAUCUGGAUCAGUGUGUAGUAUGUGGUGAAAAUAGAUACAAAGACAGAGGGAGGAAAGUUCCUCAUUUGGUCUUGACUUACAUGCCGAUUGGACCGAGACUUCAAAGGCUCUUUUAUUCAAGGAAGACGGCCAAACAUUUAACUUGGCAUGCAGAUCAUUCAAUAGAUCCAGAAAAGAUGAUACAUCCCAGUGAAGGAUAGAUACAGAGAUAGGAUGAAAGGUAUCAGGAAACAAUCUGCCGACAUGGCACGAAAUGAUGGGAAACCCCUCCCCCCAAAGUUUUGUAGCUACUAUGAUGGGAUGCAUAACUACCGCCCCGAACGCGUACCGGAGACUGUGUGGCAACGUUUGUGUGAUCAUUGGUCCACAGAGAAGUGGCAAAAGAAUUCAAAAAUCGCUCAGCAGAACCGCAACACCGCAGAUUCUAGUGGGUCAACAGCAAGACACACUGCGGGUAGUAUAUGAUUUGACCAGUACCGUAGGAAAUUAGAAAAAUUGAUGGGUAAACCACCCACACAAUAUGAUGUUUUCGUGCAGACGCAUGGCACCGCCGAGUCAAAGAAAAAAUAUUUUGAGGGAAAUCAUGAAAAUAUUGAAUAUUGCUCGCAGACGGCCAAAGAAGCACUAGAGGGGUAUCUGCAUGGGUUGGUCAACAAAUUUGGUGAAGAUCCUUCAAAUCGUAAGGAUGAUGUAGAUGUAUGGGAGGAAAGCCAACUUAGAAGAAAAGGAAAGAAGAAGGGUGCUAUCUAUGGGAUAGGAGCAUCGGAUAUACAUUUUUUGGUUUUAGGGACUCCAUCUUCCCAAUCCACCCAGUCCACCCAGUCGGAUAGCACACAACAAGAGGUUGAUAGGUUGCGUGCACAAGUUUCUGUCAUGGAACAACAACAACAACAAAUGAAAGAACAAAUGGAGAUGGUUAUGAGGAUGAUAAAUAUGUCUGGAAAUCAACCCCAUGGUCCCCCCGAUAAUCCACCCGAGGACAAUUGAUAAGUAUUUUGGAACAAUUGAAUUUGUAAACACUUGUAUUGUUUGCUUGUUUUGUUAUGCCUAAUUUGUAUGGUACUUGAGACAUUUGUAUGGUAUUUAAGACAAUGGAAUUGAAUGUGUCAAAGUUGGUAUUAGGGACA